AUACGGGAGGCAGCAGUGGGGAAUAUUGGACAAUGGGCGCAAGCCUGAUCCAGCCAUGCCGCGUGAGUGAUGAAGGCCUUAGGGUUGUAAAGCUCUUUUAGCAGGGAAGAUAAUGACGGUACCUGCAGAAAAAGCCCCGGCUAACUUCGUGCCAGCAGCCGCGGUAAUACGAAGGGGGCUAGCGUUGCUCGGAAUUACUGGGCGUAAAGCGCACGUAGGCGGCUUCUUAAGUCGGGGGUGAAAUCCUGGAGCUCAACUCCAGAACUGCCUUCGAUACUGGGAAGCUCGAGUUCGGGAGAGGUGAGUGGAACUGCGAGUGUAGAGGUGAAAUUCGUAGAUAUUCGCAAGAACACCAGUGGCGAAGGCGGCUCACUGGCCCGAUACUGACGCUGAGGUGCGAAAGCGUGGGGAGCAAACAGGAUUAGAUACCCGUGUAGUCCC
rnacentral:rRNA from 1 species